rnacentral:rRNA from 1 species
UACGGAGGGGGCUAGCGUUGUUCGGAAUUACUGGGCGUAAAGCGCACGUAGGCGGCUUUGUAAGUUAGAGGUGAAAGCCCAGGGCUUAACCCUGGAAUUGCCUUUAAGACUGCAUCGCUAGAAUUGUGGAGAGGUAAGUGGAAUUCCUGGUGUAGCGGUGAAAUGCGCAGAUAUCAGGAGGAACACCAAUGGCGAAGGCAGCUCGCUGGGACGGUACUGACGCUGAGACGCGAAAGCGUGGGGAGCAAACAGG